GUUGACAUUUGAGCUAUGUACGUCCAAUAUAUGCCUUAGGCAGACUAGACGAAAUAUGUGCAUGCAAGCUGUGCUUCCCCUAAUGAAUGCGUUUGCCCAGGACGAAAAUUCCAUUGACGAUACUAGUAAUGUAACCAGAGGAUGGGACAUUCGGUACACAGGUCUAAAUAAUGCCCGUCGAAAUUGCAAUGCAAUUGACAACAAUAGCACAGGAUCAAAGACAUCGACCAACGAGAAGACCAGGCAAAUGGGAAAUGUAAACCAGAAAUGCGAAACAGCAAACACAAUGAAUCGCACACAUAUGGCACAAGGAUGGGGAAGUAUGUUCUUCUUGCCAGUACAAGGAUUGGCUUAAAAUUGUCAUUUAUAAAAAAUAAUAUGUUCAUAUUUUAAG
ensembl:ncRNA lncRNA:CR41352 long non-coding RNA:CR41352